rnacentral:tRNA from 1 species
GUAGUUAUAGCUCAGUUGGUAGAGUGCUUCCCUAGCAAGCACGUGUGAGGCACUGAGUUCGAACCUCAGCACCACG